AAGAACCAUUUUGGUUUGCAAAUCCAUCAUAACUCAAAUAAACUUCAAAAUUCAAAGAAAAAAAUAAGAUAAGAAGAAUAUAAACUACAAAACAUAUAAAAUAAAAAAUGCAUGAUAUAUAUUCUGCUCAGAGAGAGCAUACCCACUCAUCGAUAAUAAUAUUAUCUCAUAUUUGCAGACGUAUUUGUCUAUCUCAUCAUAGCAGAAUACAUACACACCUCAAUAUUAUCAAAAGAAAGAUCUUCAAUAUCAAAUACAAGAACUAAAAAGUACACAAAAGACAGAGAUUCAUGUAAUGUUUCAGUGUAACUCUUUUUGUGUUGGAGUUUCAAACCCUAACCUAGUGACUGCGUUGCUAUGAU
rnacentral:lncRNA from 1 species